GGGGAAUAUUGGACAAUGGGCGAAAGCCUGAUCCAGCCAUGCCGCGUGAGUGAUGACGGCCUUAGGGUUGUAAAGCUCUUUUACCCGGGAAGAUAAUGACGGUACCGGGAGAAUAAGCCCCGGCUAACUUCGUGCCAGCAGCCGCGGUAAUACGAAGGGGGCUAGCGUUGUUCGGAUUUACUGGGCGUAAAGCGCACGUAGGCGGAUUCUUAAGUCAGGGGUGAAAUCCCGAGGCUCAACCUCGGAACUGCCUUUGAUACUGGGGAUCUCGAGUUCGGGAGAGGUGAGUGGAAUUGCGAGUGUAGAGGUGAAAUUCGUAGAUAUUCGCAAGAACACCAGUGGCGAAGGCGGCUCACUGGCCCGAUACUGACGCUGAGGUGCGAAAGCGUGGGGAGCAAACAG
rnacentral:rRNA from 1 species